UUGAAAGGGAAACGAUUGAAGUCAGUCGUACCUUCGGGUAAUCAGCCUUUCGGGUGCGAUUCUGUGGAGCGUGAGGAGUUAAACGCCUUCAUGCCUGCAUAUUCGUGCACUUUGGGUGUACUUGCCCGUGUGGUAGGUUAACAUCAAUUUCGGAUGUCAUAAAAUGGCUGGAGGAAUGUAGCUUCGGUCUCGUACUGAAGUGUUAUAGCCUUUGGUAGAUGUGAUGACCGGGAUUGAGGAUUGCAGCGAAUACCUUUUGGGCUACCCGCCUGAUCUCUGAAAGUUGCUCUGGUGCCGAAAGCGUGCUUACGGUUAUCAAAGUUGACGUUCAAAAGGUUAGAACGGGUUAAAUUCGUUAAGGAUGUUGACGUA
rnacentral:rRNA from 1 species